rnacentral:tRNA from 1 species
AUUUUUAUAGUUGAAAAACAACCAUAGCUUUUCACGCUGUAAGUCUGGGUUAAAUUCCCAGUAAAAAUU